AUGUCCAAGCUGCUCUCGCUGCACCGCUCGCUCUCGGAGCAGGAGGGCUACCUCAACUCCGCCGACCAGGCGUUCCUCCUCCGCCUUGCCUGCGCCGAGCUGGUGUUGUCGCUCGAUGCCGCGGCAGCCGCCGUCGUCGCGCCUCGGCCUGCGCUGCGGCAUCGACUUCGCCGGGGUGUUGCAUCAUCAAGGCCGGUGCCCGCGACGCGCGCCUCGACUUGCUGGCGGCCAAGGAGCUCAAGGUCAAGGCCAAGAAGAUGGAGCGCCUCGUGGGCGCCACAUCCAAGCUGUGCUCCGAGAUGGAGGCGCUCGACGAGCUGGAGUCCGUCGAGCGGAAGCUCAUCGUCCGCGGCUGGACGCCCUGCGAGGGAGCGGGGCACGGGCGACUCGAGCUUCUCAUCGGGCAGCUCGAGGGACCGGGCACGGGGCGAGGGAGCGGGGCAUAGGACGGCUUGA
rnacentral:rRNA from 1 species